UGGCACUCCAGAUGUUUUGGACUACACCUCCCAUGAUGCUUUGCCAGCAUUAUGGGGGAUGUAGUCCACAACAUCUGGAGUGGCG